rnacentral:rRNA from 1 species
GACGAACGCGGGCGGCGUGCUUAACACAUGCAAGUCGAACGGAAAGGCCCUGCUUUUGUGGGGUGCUCGAGUGGCGAACGGGUGAGUACACGUGAGUAACCUGCCCUUGACUUUGGGAUAACUUCAGGAAACUGGGGCUAAUACCGGAUAGGAUCUCCUGCUGCAUGGUGGGGGCUGGAAAGUUUCGGCGGUUGGGGAUGGACUCGCGGCUUAUCAGCUUGUUGGUGGGGUAGUGGCUUACCAAGGCUUUGACGGGUAGCCGGCCUGAGCGGGUGACCGGCCACAUUGGGACUGAGAUACGGCCCAGACUCCUCCGGGAGGCAGCAGUGGGGAAUGUUGCACGAUGGGCGGAAGCCUGAUGCAGCAACGCCGCGUGCGGGAUGACGGCCUUCGGGUUGUAACCCGCUUUCGCCUGGGACGAAGCGUGAGUGCCGGUAAUGGGUAAAGAAGCACCGGCUAACUACGUG